rnacentral:rRNA from 1 species
AGGUGAACCUGCGGAAGGAUCANUG